CCACUGCUCCCAACAUCUGACAAUAUUCACUUGCCCACCGCUGAUGUUUAACUUCCGGUUGAGAUUACAAAACUUUCAUUUUGACAAGAGCAUCCAUCAAGAUCAAUAGUUCAUUGUCAUAACCUAAUUUCUUAAACACUUCACGAAGUUUACUCACAUUUUCAGUAAAGUAAGAGUUUACUGUUCUCGGAUUAAUUUCACAAUUCCUUACAGCCAUGCGGUUUCUCCAGAUGCUGUGAAGGCCGAGGAGAAAGAACGUGUCAUAAGGUAUACUGUCUUGCCCUGUAGUUAA
rnacentral:lncRNA from 1 species